AUUGAACGCUGGCGGCAUGCCUUACACAUGCAAGUCGAACGGCAGCACGGGGGCAACCCUGGUGGCGAGUGGCGAACGGGUGAGUAAUGCAUCGGAACGUACCCGGAAGUGGGGGAUAACGUAGCGACAGUUACGCUAAUACCGCAUAUUCUGUGAGCAGGAAAGCGGGGGAUCGCAAGACCUCUCGCUUUCGGAGCGGCCGGUGUCGGAUUAGCUAGUUGGUGGGGUAAAGGCCUACCAAGGCGACGCUCCGUAGCGGGUCUGAGAGGAUGAUCCGCCACACUGGGACUGAGACACGGCCCAGACUCCUACGGGAGGCAGCAGUGGGGAAUUUUGGACAAUGGGCGCAAGCCUGAUCCAGCCAUGCCGCGUGAGUGAAGAAGGCCUUCGGGUUGUAAAGCUCUUUCGGACGGAAAGAAAUCGCACGGGCCAAUACCCUGUGUGGAUGACGGUACCGUAAGAAGAAGCACCGGCUAACUACGUGCCAGCCGCCGCGGUAAAAC
rnacentral:rRNA from 1 species